CGUAGGGUGCGAGCGUUAAUCGGAAUUACUGGGCGUAAAGUGUGCGCAGGCGGCCGAGCAAGUCGAGUGUGAAAGCCCCGAGCUUAACUUGGGAACUGCGCUCGAAACUACUUGGCUAGAGUGUGGCAGAGGGAGGUGGAAUUCCACGUGUAGCGGUGAAAUGCGUAGAGAUGUGGAGGAACACCGAUGGCGAAGGCAGCCUCCUGGGCCAACACUGACGCUCAUGCACGAAAGCGUGGGGAGCAAACAGGAUUAGAUACCCUGGUAGUCCACGCCCUAAACGAUGAUGACUAGUUGUUGGAGGAGUUAAAUCCUUUAGUAACGCAGCUAACGCGUGAAGCCAUCCGCCUGGGGAGUACGGUCGCAAGAUUA
rnacentral:rRNA from 1 species